GACCUCGGAUCAGGUAGGAAUACCCGCUGAACUUAAGCAUAUCAAUAAGCGGAGGAAAAGAAACCAACAGGGAUUGCCUCAGUAACGGCGAGUGAAGCGGCAAAAGCUCAAAUUUGAAAUCUGACCCUUCGGAUCCGAGUUGUAAUUUGCAGAGGAUGUUUCGGGUAAGAUUUAGGUCUAAGUUCCUUGGAACAGGACGUCAUAGAGGGUGAGAAUCCCGUACGUGACCGUUGAUCGCACCCAUGUGAAACUCCUUCGACGAGUCGAGUUGUUUGGGAAUGCAGCUCAAAAUGGGUGGUAAAUUUCAUCUAAAGCUAAAUAUUGGCCAGAGACCGAUAGCGCACAAGUAGAGUGAUCGAAAGAUGAAAAGCACUUUGAAAAGAGAGUUAAACAGUAUGUGAAAUUGUUGAAAGGGAAGCGCUUGCAACCAG
rnacentral:rRNA from 1 species